GGGCUGAACCACAUUAUUUUGAGACUUCCGUGAACAUGAGGAUAUUGGCUUAUAAAUGAUUGGAGAGUGUUUUUCGAGUGAUUUGACCGCAAAAUCAAAAUCGUUUGGGUGGGAAGGGCCCUAACGAGGGUAGAUCUAGCGUGUAUCUCGGCUACCACAAGUCGUAGAAAAUCGAAAUUGGUGCCAAAAUGGGGUAGGCUAUUAGUGCCCAAUGACGUAUGAAAUUUUGAAAUAAAAUUUUUAUAAAAAGGUCUGUCGUGCCAGACAACUCGAAAAAUCGAAAAUUCGACUUGUCUGGCACGACAGGCUUUUCAAUAAAAGUGUAAUUUGAAAAUAUCAUUCGUCAUUGGGCACUAAUAUCUACAUUUUAGCACCAACUUCGAUUUUCUGCGACUUGUGGUGGCCGAGAUAUACACGCUAGGUCUACCCUCGUUAGGGCCCUUACCCCCCAA